rnacentral:rRNA from 1 species
UACGUAGGGUGCAAGCGUUGUCCGGAAUUAUUGGGCGUAAAGAGCUCGUAGGCGGUCUGUCGCGUCUGCUGUGAAAACUCGGGGCUUAACCCCGGGCCUGCAGUGGGUACGGGCAGACUAGAGUGCGGUAGGGGAGACUGGAAUUCCUGGUGUAGCGGUGAAAUGCGCAGAUAUCAGGAGGAACACCGGUGGCGAAGGCGGGUCUCUGGGCUGUAACUGACGCUGAGGAGCGAAAGCAUGGGGAGCGAACAGG